UUUGUUACAGAGGAGCCUAAUAUUCUAAGGGGGGCAGUGAGGAAAAAGGUAGUUGAGAUUCUUGAAGAGGAGUGAGCUUUUACAGAGGAAGAGAACCAGAGAGAGGUGGAGGUUUUGAGAGAUCCAACUAUUUUUACUUUGGGGAGCAUUCGGAUGGCCGACAUAUGUGCUCAGCAAGACCAGCAUACUGCUAUUCUUCGUCAGAUUCCACAGCAUUUGGGACUCCUGCCACCACCUCAGACUGACAUUCCGGGACCAUCAGAGCCCAUAGCUCUAGCUGAGGAGACCACCAGAGCCGAUGUCUCGCCUUAGGCCACUCAGGAGGCAGCCACAAAGCCAUCAUCUCCACCAAAGAGCCCUACUACUUGAUCAUUUCUUUAUUUUGUAUUUACUUAGUUUAUUACUUGUUUUGAUAUUUUAUAUUCUGGGAUUGGAUGUAUUACAUGAUCAUAUUUCACAUUGUAC